CCCAAGCAGCAGCAUCACUGCCUCUCCAAGCUGAUCUGGGUACUAGUAACUGGAUGGGGUGGGUCCUGCCCCACUCCUGUUUUCCUUCAUUUUUCUAUAUCAGGGACGAGGUGAUCUAUUUUUAGUGUGUGGCUGGUUAAGUCAGGGGUUGCUAUAGUGACGGUGAGUGGCUACAAACCCAGAGCUGCUCAGAUUUCCAGUCGCAGAGAAAUCCCAACACGGAGUCCUGACAGGAAUGCGACAUUGGAGAAUGGAGUGACCCUGCUCAUGAGAGUCCCUGCCUACCGUGUGCAUGCCAUGGGAAGGCUGAACCCGAGUCUUGCUGGCAGACCACAUACACUCAAGGUCUGUUACGAGAGUGGGACCAGACAGCUGUGCCAGUGGGGCUUGGCAGUGCAGAGGGAGAGUGCCUCACAUGGAAGAAGGAUGCUUCUCACAAAGUCAUGGCAUGAUCCUGCUGAACUGGGCUCACUGGGAGAGCCACAGGUGACCACAGCUCUUUGUUGACACAAUCUGGAUAUCUCUCUCCUGAAGAGACAAAAGGAAGGAGUACAUGGAAAUUCUGUCUGGCAUCCGUAGCACAAAACUCCAUGUGGGAGCUUCGCUUGUGUGCAGCUGUGGCCGCAGUCCAUGUUCAGUUGGGCUCAGCACCCCAUGACACAGAACUGUCCAAGGGGAUUCCAUCACUUGGCCCAGAUGGUCAGCUUUCCGAUGACAGUCUCAUAAUACUUCCUGGUGAAAGACCUAUAGCCCACAUCAAUGGCUCUGUGUCACGGGGCAGACCUGAGCCCCCUGCUAAUCCUCUCCAGUUGUUCUGGAAGGGCUCCCAGGACAGCUUCGUGGAGCAAUAGCAACCCUGGCUAAGACACCGGCCCAGCUGCAGAGGCGAGCCCAAGGGCAGAAGAGGCAGGCACCUCAUUAUGUGAAAUUCUCCAAUGGAAGAAAGGACAUAAAACCUACCCUCAAAGUGGUACCUCCUAGACAGUCAGGGUGGCCCCACUGGAAAAAGGCAUUUUGAAGCUAUCAUUUUUUUUUAAGCAGAGAAGGGGCAGGGCUGGAGAUCAUAGUUUGAGCUGUCGGGACUUGUUUCCUCAGAGACCAGGAAAUCUUGGAUGGAGACCUGGAAGGUCUCACAGAGCAGGCUGGGUUAGUCAAGCAGAGUUGGGAGGAAGCUUCCUCUACAGUUCAUGGCCUUUUCCUUUCACUCAGUGAGUCCAGGCCUGGCACAAUGGAGGAGAUGCCCAGCUCUUAGCUCAGUGUGUUGUUAAGUAAAGGGAGAACCUAGAGCCCAGAGUCCUGGCAGUUGCCUGAGCAGGACUGUAGCUCCGAGAGCCCCCAUGUCCCUGACCCCGAGGGCAGGGCCAGCCUUUGCAGGCAAGCUCUUGUGAUACUGGUAGAGAUGAAAAUAUUAUUUUUGAUCUCAGUAGCUUAGGAGAUGGGAUGGCAGCCAGCUCUCAUACACCAGGGGAGAAACCACUGUCUGGUACACACCAGGUGUUUAAUAACAGGUCUGUAUGCCUAUCCCCAUUACCAAAACUAGACUUCUCCUUCAAUAACAUGGUCAGAUUUAAUUCUAUAGUAAAUGAGCAUUUACUUCUUUGUUAUCUAAAAUGAGUCUUGUUUUUGUAUGAAUCACUCUUCUGGUUCUGAAAGUAUUCCUUCUUCCUUCACUGCUGGGACAGGUACCCCAUUCCUCUGUAAAUUCACCCUGGUACUCAAUGGGGUUCAACUCUUUGGUUCAAUUUGCAGCUUUUUUUUUCUUUCAUGAGAGGGAAAACUCCCUGAUUCCAGGAAUCCCCAUCUCCAUGCUGCCUCCUCAGACCACUGAGGCUUGAGCACGGAUGCAUCAGAGGUGGCAGAAGGUACAGGCAGACAGAAUGCCUCUUUUUCUUUCUUUUCAGUCUAUAUCCUACAUACUUUAUGUUCCUGCUCAGAUGUCUGUCAAAGUCAUCACACUAUUUAUUAUACCUGUGACAAAUUUUUACCAGUUGAAAUGUCACAUUCUACUUUUUUUUUUUUUGAGUCAGGGUCUCAUGUAGCCCAAGCUGACCUAGAACUUGAUUUGGAACCAAGGAUGGACUUGAUCCUCCAGCCUCCAGUUCCCAAGUGCUGGGAUUACAGGCAUGUGUCACCACGUCUACUUUUACCCUGUGUUGGUGAUAAACCCAGGGCUUCUUCACACAUGCUGGGCAAGUACUCUAUCAACUGAAUCACACCUCCAGCCUCAGUCUCAGUUCUUAAAACAUGACAGCCACCAUCCAAGGUUGAGUGGUCAGAGAUCACCCAGCUCCCUAGAUGUACAGAAACGUGGAUUCCACCUACACAACUCCAUAAGAACAGAACACACAAGCUUCCACAUCAGCAGGCCCAUGAAAUGAACCAUAGAUAAGUGGUCAUCUUUCCCAGCCAUGCUGAUCUCAACCCCCUGAACCUCAGGUAGCAUGUCCCAGAAACAGUUUCUCCCCAAGGGACACAAUUCAGGCAGAUGUCUUCCCUCCCAAGUAACCCUCCAUCAACCAGAUCUCUUGCCAGGGACCAAGGAGAUGGAGUCCCUUCCUCUGGCAGAUGGGGUUCUCCACACACACAUUUAAUUUGUAACAAGACAAGCUGACAGUUCGACUCAUCCUCAGUCUUCCUUAAGCCACUGUUUUUCCUAAACCAGUAACCAUCCCAAUUGAUCCCUAAACCACACAGAGCCAGGUGAGAAAGAAAACAUCCUCAGGAAGAGUGAUGGUGCUGGUGACACAGUUCCCGGGAGCAGCAUGGCCACUGACUUCCAAAGCGCUUCAUGAGUCACUGUGGUCACAGAAGUGGUGACAGAUGAACAUAUCAGGACUUGAAGAACCAGCACGAGCCUCAGCUCGUGAACAGGGGUUCACCAGAAGGGGAGCGGCAUCAGAUGGCAAGUGCGGGUACCUGGGCGUCACAGCUCACACUGCUGAGAGGCAGUCAGACUCAGCCACAGCCCGUGGGUCUGAAUGUCCUCACCAAGACAUCUCUGAUCAACAGGAGAUGAGGGUCGUGCCCCAGGACCAGUCUAGUAGCCACAGGGGACCUCACAGCAGUUCUUCUCACUGAGGUCCCUGAGACUUCUGAGCAGAAGCAGUUCUGACUGGCCGCACCUCUCCUCUCCCGGCAGGCAGCUGGAGUGUCAGUGUCGCCUGUCCUAAGUAGGCAAGAAGCCACUGGAGGUACGAACACAACCUUGCAGGGGAUCUGUUUAUGUAGUUAAGGUCACAGGCUCACCGACAAGCUCCAGGUUACUUAUUCUCUUUAAACUUAAAGCAGAAGGGGAGCCCAAGUAGGCAGAGCCGGCACCAGCCUGCUAGUCAUGUGCAGAUCUGCGUGAUGUCUCUUUAAGAAGACUGUAAAAGGAAACCACCCUGUACAGACAAUUCUUGGCACCAAUUGGCUAGAGCACAUUCCCAUUGUGACAUGACAUCACACAACUAUUUUGAUGCAUGUGCUUGUGGCUCUGAGAGCUAGAAGGCUCCAGAGGCUGCCUGAGGAGAAGCCCUGAGAACACCAGGGCUAGAUUCUGCUGAAUCUCCUUUGGCCUUCACUCUUCUAGGGAGCAUAGCAAGAUCCCCUUUCAGGAGAGGAAGGGUUGCCGUAGGAUUCAGCACAAGGUCUCAGUCGAGCAUGGAACCUGACUUGCUAAGAACUGCACGACAGAACUCAGAUUUUGGAGGACAUCUCACUCGACUCCUACUGUAGACAGUUAGGGUGGGCUGUGGCUCAUCCAAGCUCCGGCAGCCAAUGACAGAGACAAGACUGGAACACUAAUCUCAUCUACCACAAGUCUAAUGUCCACCCUGACAAAGCAUGGAAGCUUUAGUUCACACAUGUGCUGCUCCUUACUGGUGACACAAUACCAAGUGUCCAGACCUGAAAACAACAUACAUGCAGACAAAACUGAACUCAGCAAGCUGUAUUUGCCUAUUUAUGUGCACAUUUGUAUGUUACAUAACAAUAAAGAAAAAGAAACUGUCA